rnacentral:rRNA from 1 species
GUGCGCGGUGAGUACCGUGAGAUUGCCUUAGAGGGAUACAUUAGAAUGAUGCUAUACCCAUAUGCUUUGAGUGAAAUGGAUUUAUAUUUAUCUGCCUAAAGAGAAGCUCGCGGCUGAUUAGCUUGUUGGUAAGGUAAGAGCUUACCAAGGCGACGAUCAGUAUCUGGUUUGAGAGGACGAUCAGACACACUGGAACUUAGACACGGUCCAGACUCCUACGGGAGGCAGCAGUGGGGAAUUUUCCGCAAUGGGCGAAAGCNUGACGGAGCAAUACCGCGUGAGGGAAGACUGCCUAUGGGUUGUAAACCUCUUUUUUCAGGGAGGAAUAAAAUGACGUGUACCUGAAG